AAACACACCCAACCAUCCAGCAAUGAAGUCACCAGGAAUUCUACGGACUUUGAAAAAAAGACACGUAUCCGUAGUGCCAUCCUUCAGCAGUUGAAGGACCUCAAGAGUUUGAAAGACGAUGGUGUUCUUGAC